rnacentral:rRNA from 1 species
AACGAACGCUGGCGGCAUGCCUAACACAUGCAAGUCGAACGAGACCUUCGGGUCUAGUGGCGCACGGGUGCGUAACGCGUGGGAACCUGCCCUUAGGUUCGGAAUAACUCCCCGAAAGGGGUGCUAAUACCGGAUAAUGUCUUCGGACCAAAGAUUUAUCGCCUUUGGAUGGGCCCGCGUUGGAUUAGCUAGUUGGUAGGGUAAAAGCCUACCAAGGCGACGAUCCAUAGCUGGUCUGAGAGGAUGAUCAGCCACACUGGGACUGAGACACGGCCCAGACUCCUACGGGAGGCAGCAGUGGGGAAUAUUGGACGAUGGGCGAAAGCCUGAUCCAGCCAUGCCGCGUGAGUGAUGAAGGCCUUAGGGUUGUAAAGCUCUUUUACCCGGGAUGAUAAUGACAGUACCGGGAGAAUAAGCUCCGGCUAACUCCGUG